rnacentral:rRNA from 1 species
UACGGGGGGGGCAAGCGUUGUUCGGAAUUACUGGGCGUAAAGGGCUCGUAGGCGGCCAACUAAGUCGGACGUGAAAUCCCCAGGCUCAACCUGGGAACUGCGUCUGAUACUGGAUGGCUUGAGUUUGGGAGAGGGAUGCGGAAUUCCAGGUGUAGCGGUGAAAUGCGUAGAUAUCUGGAGGAACACCGGUGGCGAAGGCGGCAUCCUGGACCAACACUGACGCUGAUGAGCGAAAGCCAGGGGAGCAAACGGG